rnacentral:rRNA from 1 species
CCUACGGGAGGCAGCAGUGGGGAAUAUUGCACAAUGGGGGAAACCCUGAUGCAGCGACGCCGCGUGAAGGAAGAAGUAUUUCUGUAUGUAAACUUCUAUCAGCAGGGAAGAAAAUGACGGUACCUGUCUAAGAAGCCCCGGAUAACUACGUGCCAGCAGCCGCGGUAAUACGGAGGGGGCAAGCGUUAUCCGGAUUUACUGGGUGUAAAGGGGGCGUAGGCGGUUUAGCAAGUCAGAAGGGAAAGCCCGGGGCUCAACUCCGGGACUGCUUUUGAAACUGUUGAACUAGAUUGCAGGAGAGGUAAGUGGAAUUCGUAGUGUAGCGGUGAAAUGCGUAGAUAUUAGGAGGAACUCCAAUGGCGAAGGCAGCUUACUGGACUGUAAAUGACGCUGAGGCUCGAAAGCGUGGGGAGCAAACAGGAUUAGAUACCCUAGUAGUC